rnacentral:rRNA from 1 species
UCCUACGGGGCGCAGCAGUGGGGAAUAUUGGGCAAUGGGGGAAACCCUGACCCAGCAACGCCGCGUGAGGGAAGAAGGCUUUCGGGUUGUAAACCUCUGCCCUUGGGGACGAAGUAAGUGACGGUACCCAAGGAGGAAGCUCCGGCUAACUACGUGCCAGCAGCCGCGGUAAUACGUAGGGAGCAAGCGUUGUCCGGAAUUACUGGGCGUAAAGGGUGCGUAGGCGGCCUGGUAAGUCAGAUGUGAAAUACCCGUGCUUAACAUGGGGGGUGCAUCUGAUACUGUCAGGCUUGAGUGCAGGAGUG